rnacentral:lncRNA from 1 species
GAAACGAUACAAUAACUUAACCGUGUGAAUAUGAUAUGGAAAACAUGUGUGGUUGGAUUAGUCCACCGGUUCUUGUCGAUGUCACGUGAUUCUCAGAAGAUGCACAAAGCAAAAGUGCAAGCCCCAUGUGAUGAUAUGAUCUGAUCGACGUGCACUGUGGAAGAAGAUGGCACCGUAUGCCACAACCAGAUAAAAUUGACACGAAUAUCUCCUUUAAUAUCUUCUUUGGUGCGUGAACAAUAUCUAACUUUAACCAAACACCAUUUUAUGUACAUGUUUUUUGAAGAAAAGAAAAAAUGAUGAUAAAAAAAAAACAAUGAUCCUACAAAAAAAUUCCCACCAAGCAGAGAAAUUCCACCGGGACAAACGGAAAGCAACAACCGUUUCAUUUCCCAGCAAGCGGCACGCAAGCACGCGCAGUUUGACCACGGCGGACGGCCCGGUCAAACUAAACACGUUGUCCAGCCGCGCACGCCUGGUCGUUGCACUCCACUGACUUGCCGCCGGCGCCGGCCGGCUUCCCGCCCUUGCUCGACCCGUCGGACUCGGCCCUCCGUGUCGACCUCGACCCCCACGCCGCGGAGAAGGUCCGCGACAGGAACGACGGCCACCGGCCGGACUGGCCNNNNN